GGCCUGAGAGGGUGACCGGCCACACUGGGACUGAGACACGGCCCAGACUCCUACGGGAGGCAGCAGUGGGGAAUAUUGCACAAUGGGCGAAAGCCUGAUGCAGCGACGCCGCGUGAGGGAUGACGGCCUUCGGGUUGUAAACCUCUUUCAGCGGGGACGAAGGGCAACUGACGGUACCCGCAGAAGAAGCACCGGCUAACUACGUGCCAGCAGCCGCGGUAAUACGUAGGGUGCGAGCGUUGUCCGGAAUUAUUGGGCGUAAAGAGCUCGUAGGCGGUUUGUUGCGUCGGCUGUGAAAACUUCACGCUUAACGUGGAGCCUGCAGUCGAUACGGGCAGACUUGAGUUCGGCAGGGGAGACUGGAAUUCCUGGUGUAGCGGUGAAAUGCGCAGAUAUCAGGAGGAACACCGGUGGCGAAGGCGGGUCUCUGGGCCGAUACUGACGCUGAGGAGCGAAAGCGUGGGGAGCGAACAGGAUUAGAUACCCUGGUAGUCCACGCCGUAAACGGUGGGUGCUAGGUGUGGGGGACUUCCACGUCCUCCGUGCCGCAGCUAACGCAUUAAGCACCCCGCCU
rnacentral:rRNA from 2 species